rnacentral:rRNA from 1 species
AGGGCACCACCAGGAGUGGAGCCUGCGGCUUAAUUUGACUCAACACGGGGAAACUCACCCGGCCCGGACACUGGAAGGAUUGACUGAUUGAUAGCUCUUUCUUGAUUCGGUGGGUGGGGGUGCAUGGCCGUUCUUAGUUGGUGGAGUGAUUUGUCUGGUUAAUUCCGAUAACGAACGAGACUCUAGCCUACUAAAUAGACCUCGGCAUUCUUUGUACUGUCGAGGCGCUUCUUAGAGGGACAGGUGGCGUUUCAGCCGCAUGAGAAAGAGCAAUAGCAGGUCUGUGAUGCCCUUAGAUGUCCGGGGCCGCACGCGCGCUACACUGAAGAGAUCAGUGUGCAUGUGCCUCCUACUCCGUAAGGAGCGGGAAACCGAGUGAACCUUUUUCGUGCUUGGGAUUGGGAAUUGCAAUUAUUUCCCUUGAACGAGGAAUUCCCAGUAAGCGCGAGUCAUAAGCUUGCGUUGAUUACGUCCCUGCCCUUUGUACCCAUCGCCCGUCGCUACUACCGAUUGAAUGAU